UGGCUACUGUAAUCUUUACAAGAAAUUCGCUUCGGUUUUCCAGCGCGGGACACGCCGGGCGAAGCCGAGGGAGCGGGGCCGGCCGCGUCCCCCCGCCGGGCAGCGCCGCGGAGCAGCACAGACCCAGGCUGAGCAAGUGCGAAAGGGGAAAAACAAAAACAAAACAAAAAGARCAAAAAAACCCCCCAGUCGCGAAGAGGCACGGUUUAACAGUGUAGAUCGCGCUUGCUAUCUGACACCAUCUAAUAGCAAUUAAAGAAUAUCCACGCACAAAACUAUGGCUCCUCCGCUUUCACCCCCCACCCCCCAAAUGUAUUUGCUACACUUAGCAGAAUGGGAGAUAGCGAUCAAAAAAGAAAGUCAGCCUCCUUCAAACUAAUGCAACAUCUGUAGCUGAUAAAAGGCGCUGAGGAGAGCUCAUCUUCUAAAUGAAGCUCAUUUCACAGAGCGCGUGUGCGCAAGGAGGGGGGGAAAAACCACCCUAAGAGGUAAAAUAUAUAUGCAGCCCCCCCCCUCCCCGUCAGAUAAUUAAAGCGCUUGCAUUAAUCACAUUUGCAAUGGAACAAAUUGUUGGAGCCCUUUUGCCCCUCUUUUCAGUGUUUGUUAUUGUAGCGAAUCCUGCUCCAGUCUGGUYGGGAGAGAUAAGUAGCCCUUAUCGCACUUGGCAAUCUGUAUCAGCAUGGAGAUCGGGCCUCGGCGCCUAUCGGGGUUCACAUCUCCUCUAGCUGAAAGCAGAAUAGAAAGGGAAAAGGAAAAAAAACACCCACAGGCAGGCCCCUGCAACUACUGCAAAAAACGUUCACUUCCAGUUAAUUUAGGAAAAAAUAUAUAUAUGUAUAUUAAAAAAAAACAAAACAACCCCAACACACACAGAGGCACAUCAGCAACACGAGAUCAAUCUCCCGCUUAUCAGUUUCCCCAAUCUGGAGAGCCAGCGCUGUAACUGCAUGCACACGCAGCUGCCAGGAGCCUCGCUCAUCAUAUGUGUGCCCGCACUCCCAUGUUUGAAGUUAAUAAAUAUAACAGGCUAUCUGGGUUGGAGAUCAGCUCCUGCUCUCUAUCAGCCCCUCACAUCUAUCUACCAGCAGAACAAAAGACAGAAGAAAAAAAAAAAAAGAGAAAACAGAAGAAAGCAGCAGCAGCAGCUGCACGGAGGUUGCUGGGUUUUCACAGCCUCCGAGAGCCACCGGCGGGAGCGGGGGGCCGGAGCGCAGCCUCCGGCGCCGGCGGCAUCGGCGCCCGGCCCCAUCCCGCCCAGGCACCCCAGCACGCGGCCACCGCCGGGACGGCGGCGCAGCGAGCGUCCGGCACCGCGGCGUUGAACGGCUCACGCGCCGGGCGCUUUCUCCGCUAUCGGGAACUGCCAGCAGCUCCCGCUUACAGCCAGCUUUUAAUGCCUUAACACCGCGCGCCAUCUGAGUUGGGAGCGGAGCGGGGAUGCUCGGCGGGGCGCUCGCCUUCCCGCGGGGCGCCCCCGGCCCCCACCGCCCCGCGGCCCCUCCUGGCACCUCCCGGCGCAGGGGGAGGCAGCAAAAAAGUUGCUCUGCCUAUUUAAGCAGCUUGCUAAAUUAGAAAGCAUGAAAAAAAAAAAAAAAAAAGAAGAAGAAGAAGGUUAAACUAGCUGGUUAAAUAUAGUCCAGUGUCUGAUCUUUGUCUUAUCGCUCUUGGCGAUCGCACGCUCUCCCCGCGAUCUCCCCUUCGAGCCUAUCUGCAUCUCACAUCAAGAAGAAAAAAAAAAAAAAAAGAAAAAGAAAAAAAUGAAGAAGGAGAGGGAACAUAGCGUCACUGAGGAAAAUAAAAUGAGCAGAUACGAAUCUGGAGGAGGUUUU
rnacentral:lncRNA from 1 species